UUAAUUUUUUUAUUAUUAUUAUUUGCUUUUGUUUUUUAGCUCUCGCACUCUACUUUGAUCGCGACGAGAUAAGGGAUCAUGAUUGCUGCGAAAUUUCAUAGAUCUCACCGUUGUUGACAAACACUUAACUACAACAGAUCGAAUACCAACCUUCUUAACCUUUUAGUUUCACGGAGAGCGAGAAUUUGUGCUUUUACGGCGCCAAGUUGAGCGAUACUGGAUUCUGGAUGAGCUCCGGUGAUCAAAUGGGCCAAUUGAAAUAGGUUCUUGGAUUUUUUGGGGAAGCAAUGGCUUUCUUUUGUUGGGAAUUGGAGAAACUUUGAAUUUGUUGCAGAGAAUUUUUAGCUGAGUUUGGGGAUGAGUUCUGAUGUGGGUAGCGGAUUGUGAAGUUGGUUUAUUUGGAUAAGGAAUCUAUUCAGGAGAACAAAACUUGCAGGAAAUGGCGACUCCCGUUGAGCCACCAAAUGGAGUUAGAAUUCAGGGGAAGCAUUAUUUUUCUAUGUGGCAAACCUUGUUUGAGAUUGAUACGAAAUAUGUGCCCAUAAAACCUAUUGGCCGAGGAGCCUAUGGAAUUGUGUGCUCCUCUGUGAAUAGAGAAACCAAGGAGAAAGUUGCAAUCAAGAAAAUACACAAUGCUUUUGAAAAUCGUGUUGAUGCACUGAGAACUUUACGUGAACUGAAGCUUCUUCGGCAUCUUCG
rnacentral:misc_RNA from 1 species